rnacentral:rRNA from 1 species
AGAGGACAAGUCUGGUGCCAGCACCCGCGGUAAUUCCAGCUCUAGUAGUGUAUGUUGAAGUUGCUGCAGUUAAAAAGCUCGUAGUUGGAUUUCGGAACGCGAAGGUCAAAGUCCGUCUCAAUGGCGUGGCUCGAUUUUCGCUUCCUAUCUGGAAAUAGAGGCUCCUUUCCUUUACGGGUUGGGAUGUCCGCUUUUCCUCAUUUACUUUGAAAAAAUUCGCGCGCUCAAGGCAGGCGUAAAGCUAUUGAAGAGUCAUGCAUAGGAUAAUAGAAUACGACAUUGGUCCUAUUUUGUUGGUUUCUAGGGCUGACGUAAUGAUUAAUAGGGGUGGUUGAGGUCGCUUGUAUUGGACGGCUAGAGGUGAAAUUCUAGGAUUCGUUCAAGACAAACUACUGCGAAAGCAUUCGACAAGGACGCUUUCCUUAAUCAAGAACGAAAGUUGGGGGAUCAAAGACGAUCAGAUACCGUCGUAGUCUCAACUAUAAACGAUGUAGACCAGAGAUCCGAUUUAGAUGAUGGAUGUCGCUUCGGGGAUCUAGAUGAGAAAUCAGAGUAUUUAUAUUCCGGGGGGAGUAUGGUCGCAAGGCUGAAACUUAAAGAAAUUGACGGAAGGGCACCACCAGGAGUGGAACCUGCGGCUUAAUUUGACCCAACACGGGGAAACUCACCAGGUCAGGACACUGUUAGGAUUGACAGAUUGAGAGCUCUUUCUUGAUUCAGUGGGUGGUGGUGCAUGGCCGUUCUUAGUUCGUGGUUAUGAACUGUCAGCUCAAUUGCGAUAACGAACGAGACCGCGACUGCUAAAUAGCCCGCGCCGCCCCGGCGGCGUGCGCCGCCCCGGCGGCGUGCUUUGGCUUCUUAGUGGGACUAUCGGCUCAAGCCGAUGGAGGUACGCGUCAAUAACAGGUCUGUGAUGCCCUUAGAUGUCCUGGGCCGCACGCGCGUUACACUGGCAGGGCCAGCGAGUUCUUCCUUGGCCGAGAGGCCCGGGUAAUCUUGUUAAACCCUGCCGUGCUGGGGAUAGGGCAUUGCAAUUAUUGCCCUUCAACGAGGAAUUCCUAGUAAGCGCGAGUCAUCAGCUCGCGUUGAUUACGUCCCUGCCCUUUGUACACACCGCCCGUCGCUACUACCGAUUGGACGGCUUAGUGAGGCCUUCGGACUGGACGGCGGAGGCGGGCAACCGCCACCGCUGUUCGGAAAGUUGUACGAACUUGGUCGUCUAGAGGAAGUAAAAGUCGUAACAAG